rnacentral:misc_RNA from 1 species
UCAGCCAAAGGUGUUAUACCCAAUAAACUCAGAAAGAAGACCCAUCCAUUAUGACCAUGUAAUUGGUGAAGGAGGAUUGCAAGCGGCCCAAAGGGCAUAAGCAAAUUUAGUUUAUUUGAAAAAACUACAGUCUUUAUGCUCCUAUAGACAUCUCUCCUCCAUCUCUCACUGCCACCAGCUUGAAAUCCACCUGAUACAGAUCCACAUUCAGCUAUAUGACUAGGUUGUAUCUUUUGGGUCACUAACUCUGGGCUGAAAAGACUCUCAUCCUGAAACUCAUGCACAGAUCUGUUUACAGCUACUGAUCCCAUUUCAAGUUGGGAUUGAAUUCCUACCACUUGUAACUUGCAAUCCAUCCAGUAGAAUUAUAAGCACAAAUAUUUUGCCACUUCCAUGAAUGAGCACCAGCACAUGGAGCGCUCACAGUAGUUUUCUCAAUUUCAAAGAAAAGGGUCCUUUGACAAUUGUUGAGCAGGUUUGUUCAACGAUGAAAUCCAAUGGAGCUGAAAAAACCAAAAACCCAACCCCAGCACUGCCUAACAAUCACGCAGAAGAUUUGCUCUGAUGCUUUACUUUUACCAAAAGAGAACUAAAUCAAAUGACUUUCAGCAACUGGAAUUGAAUUUGACCGUACGAUUGUUGUAAAUAUAUGG